rnacentral:rRNA from 1 species
ACGGGAGGCAGCAGUGAGGAAUAUUGGUCAAUGGGCGGAAGCCUGAACCAGCCAAGUCGCGUGAAGGAUGAAGGUAUUAUGUAUUGUAAACUUCUUUAGCAGCAGAGUAAUAAGGGGGUCGUGACCUCCGAUGCAAGUAUGCUGAAAAUAAGGAUCGGCUAACUCCGUGCCAGCAGCCGCGGUAAUACGGAGGAUCCGAGCGUUAUCCGGAUUUAUUGGGUUUAAAGGGUGCGCAGGCGGUUUUUUAAGUCAGUGGUUAAAUCGUGAGGCUCAACCUCAUCACGCCAUUGAUACUGGAAGACUUGAUUGCGGUUGAGGUUGGCGGAAUUCGUCGUGUAGCGGUAAAAUGCAUAGAUAUGACGAAGAACACCGAUUGCGUAGGCAGCUUACCAGACCGUUAAUGACGCUCAUGCACGAAAGUGCGGGGAUCGAACAGGAUUAGAUACCCUGGUA